CGAAUAAAUUCAGAACAAAAAAUAAGCGUAGUAAAUAAUAAUAAAAUAGAUCGUGUACGAAUGUGAAAGUUUAGACGAUUGCAUUGGCAAAAUGGCGAUAAACUGAACUCUAGAAAAGGGAUAAAGGCAAAAGAAAGAAGGUAAAAUUUCCAACUGAAUGAUGAAUUCGUCAACAAACAUAACCAUGACUAACAUCUUAAAGAACAAGAAUUCCUUUGAGGACAAGUUUAUCAAGAGAAAUAGAAAAGAAUAGCGAAGAAUUUGAAGGAGGCAAAAAAGGCCGGCAAGCUCCAAUCAUCAUUGACAAAAAAAUGCAAGAACAAUAAUCCAUUCCUUAAUAUAUCAGCUAGGUACGAUGGUAUUUCAUUGUCCAGACUCUCACCUUGAAAAGACAACCAAAAGACAACCAGAGACAAUAGUUCAAGAAACAGAAAUAUAUACUUAGUACAUAAAUAUCUAGUACAAUCGUUCUUUCCGAGUGAAAGCCAAGUAGUCAAGCCAUUGGAGAAUCAGGAAAGAAAACUACAAAGGCAAUUGAUAAUGCUUAAGAUAAAGUAUCAUUCGCUAGAAAAGAGAUGGACAUUAAGUCAGAUAUGUCAGACAGUAAUCAUUCUACAAAUAAAUCUUCAUCUGACAAUGGCUGAAAAAGAUCAAACAGAGAAGAAAUAAAAAUUGGGGAAACAAAAGAAAAAUCGAUAGAAGAUGAAGAGUAAUAUCGAGAAACAAAACAAUGAUGACAAGCUGAAGAAAGCAUUGGAAAAGGGAGAGGAAAAUGCAAAUGAAUAGAUAGUUGAAAACAAAUGAUAGGAAGAUAAAUUAUCGAUUAAUGCGAUGUGUUUGUUCUUCAAAACGAGACAAGAAAUUUUCAAUAGAGAGAAAGAGAAAAAAUGUUUGUGCUUGGAAAAUUAAUGUUAAGUUAUUAAAAAUUAAAAUUGCUAAGUUAUGUAACAAAGCUCCCUAUAUUUACUAUACAUAUAUUUGUAUUUAUUGUAAUAUAUUUAUAUAUUAUAAUACUUACAUAUUUAUAAAAAAAGUUGCAAUAUAAAAUAUCUAAUUUAUUUCACAAA